GUAAAUAGCUAGGUUUCAGAUUAGAAGUCGCCCUCGCUUCACACGCGAGAGGUCGCUGGUUCAAGCCCAGCCGUGCCCA
rnacentral:tRNA from 1 species